rnacentral:rRNA from 1 species
GAUGAACGCUAGCGGGAGGCCUAACACAUGCAAGCCGAGCGGUAUUGUUUCUUCGGAAAUGAGAGAGCGGCGUACGGGUGCGUAACACGUGUGCAACCUGCCUUUAUCUGGGGGAUAGCCUUACGAAAGGAAGAUUAAUACUCCAUAACAUAUUGAACGGCAUCGUUUAAUAUUGAAAGCUCCGGCGGAUAGAGAUGGGCACGCGCAAGAUUAGCUAGUUGGUGAGGGAACGGCUCACCAAGGCGAUGAUCUUUAGGGGGCCUGAGAGGGUGAUCCCCCACACUGGUACUGAGACACGGACCAGGCUCCUACGGGAGGCAGCAGUGAGGAAUAUUGGACAAUGGGUGAAAGCCUGAUCCAGCCAUCCCGCGUGAAGGACGACUGCCCUAUGGGUUGUAAACUUCUUUUGUAUAGGGAUAAACCUACCCUCGUGAGGGUAGCUGAAGGUACUAUACGAAUAAGCACCGGCUAACUCCGUGCCAGCAGCCGCUGUAACAC